rnacentral:rRNA from 1 species
UCGAGAAUCUUUCGCAAUGGGCGCAAGCCUGACGAAGCGACGCCGUGUGAGCGAAGAAGGCCUUCGGGUUGUAAAGCUCUUUCGCUAGGGAACAAGAAAGACAGGAUAACACCUUGUCAAUUUGAUGGUACUUGGUAAAGAAGCACCGGCUAACUCCGUGCCAGCAGCUGCGGUAAUACGGAGGGUGCAAGCAUUGAUCGGAAUUACUGGGCGUAAAGGGCGCGUAGGCGGUUUAAUAAGUCAGAUGUGAAAUUCCGGGGCUCAACCCCGGAGCUGCAUCCGAAACUGUUAGACUAGAGUGUAGUUAGGGAGAACGGAAUUCCACGUGUAGCGGUGAAAUGCGUAGAUAUGUGGAAGAACACCGGUGGUGAAGACGGUUCUCUGGGCUAUAACUGACGCU